AUUGCAUAAUCGAGAACCGGUGUCUGAUCGGCGAGCGUGCUUGUCGUUCUGACUUAAAAGGGAAGAUCGGUGUAAUACCGACGCGGUCCCGCCACUGUAACGGAGGAGCAGGCAGCUCAACCAGCCACUAAUCUACAUUGAUUGGGAAGGCAGCUGCCGAGUGACGAUUCCGGAGCCAGGAGACCUGCCUGUUCUGACAGCACUGC
rnacentral:ncRNA from 2 species